UGGCGGACGGGUGAGUAACGCGUGGAGAACCUGCCGUAUACUGGGGGAUAACACUUAGAAAUAGGUGCUAAUACCGCAUAAGCGCACAGCUUCGCAUGAAGCAGUGUGAAAAACUCCGGUGGUAUACGAUGGAUCCGCGUCUGAUUAGCUUGUUGGCGGGGUAAAGGCCCACCAAGGCGACGAUCAGUAGCCGGCCUGAGAGGGUGAACGGCCACAUUGGGACUGAGACACGGCCCAAACUCCUACGGGAGGCAGCAG
rnacentral:rRNA from 1 species